CCCGCACAAGCGGUGGAGCGUGUGGUUUAAUUCGAUGCAACGCGAAGAACCUUACCUGGUCUUGACAUCCCGGAGACCCUUAGGAAACUAGGGGGUGCUUCCAUCUGGAAGAAUCUGGAGACAGGUGCUGCAUGGCUGUCGUCAGCUCGUGUCGUGAGAUGUUGGGUUAAGUCCCGCAACGAGCGCAACCCUUGCCUUUAGUUGCCAGCAGUUCGGCUGGGCACUCUAAAGGGACUGCCGGUGUUAAACCGGAGGAAGGUGGGGAUGACGUCAAGUCCUCAUGGCCUUUAUGACCAGGGCUACACACGUACUACAAUGGCCGAUACAAAGGGCAGCGACACUGCGAGGUGAAGCCAAUCCCGUAAAAUCGGUCUCAGUCCGGAUUGGAGUCUGCAACUCGACUCCAUGAAGUUGGAAUCGCUAGUAAUCGUGGAUCAGCAUGCCACGGUGAAUACGUUCCCGGGCCUU
rnacentral:rRNA from 1 species